rnacentral:lncRNA from 1 species
CUUCAGGCACCGCUGGUGUGACGCUGGCAGCAGUUCUCUGUCAGAGUCCUUGGGGCUGAGAAAUGAUAAGAGGCUGCACGGUCCUGUGGGGUUAAGCAGCUUGACAAGACCUUCACAUAACUCAGCCCUCUGAAAAUCUGCAAAAUGAAAUACUUGGAGUUUCUUCUAUCCUACAGAAGAUACCUACUUUGGUCUCUGACAGGACAGAUGCAAAAUUAACUCCAA